rnacentral:rRNA from 1 species
UACGUAGGGACCGAGCGUUGUCCGGAAUCAUUGGGCGUAAAGCGCGCGUAGGCGGCCCUGUAAGUCCGCUGUGAAAGUCAAAGGCUCAACCUUUGAAAGCCGGUGGAUACUGCAGGGCUAGAGUCCGGAAGAGGCGAGUGGAAUUCCUGGUGUAGCGGUGGAAUGCGCAGAUAUCAGGAGGAACACCAAUAGCGAAGGCAGCUCGCUGGGACGGUACUGACGCUAAGGCGCGAAAGCGUGGGGAGCGAACAGGA